GUAGAUGUUGGUCACAGCUGUGUUGUAGAAGGCACAUUUCUUGCAGCAGCCCAGGGCCUGCAUGAUGAUUCUUUGCAUUUUCGCAGAAUAGUUAAGCAACAUUUAUAUAAUUAUGUGGAUGUUGCUUGUGACACAUGGAGAUUUAAUAUGGUUACCCAGAAUUUCAGCCUAAAAUAAUGUCAAACCAUGCAGAUGGAUAGAUACCAUCCGCUUCUGCAUGAUAUUCUCUAUCCAUCUUUGUUCGUAAUUACAUGGAAACAGCCAACCAGCUAUCUUUCUGACCAAACUGCCCUUGUGGCUCAAGCAUCAAAUAAGACUGACCUUUUCUUCUUCCACAUCCAUGCAAAAGUCGUAGUUUUAUUUUUCUUAAUAAUUAAGUUCAAGACUUGACCAUCUAAUUUCAAAGUGUGACUCACUUUAC
rnacentral:misc_RNA from 1 species